UAUCAGAGUUUGAUCCUGGCUCAGGACGAACGCUGGCGGCGUGCCUAAUACAUGCAAGUCGAACGCUUCUUUCCUCCCGAGUGCUUGCACUCAAUUGGAAAGAGGAGUGGCGGACGGGUGAGUAACACGUGGGUAACCUACCCAUCAGAGGGGGAUAACACUUGGAAACAGGUGCUAAUACCGCAUAACAGUUUAUGCCGCAUGGCAUAAGAGUGAAAGGCGCUUUCGGGUGUCGCUGAUGGAUGGACCCGCGGUGCAUUAGCUAGUUGGUGAGGUAACGGCUCACCAAGGCCACGAUGCAUAGCCGACCUGAGAGGGUGAUCGGCCACACUGGGACUGAGACACGGCCCAGACUCCUACGGGAGGCAGCAGUAGGGAAUCUUCGGCAAUGGACGAAAGUCUGACCGAGCAACGCCGCGUGAGUGAAGAAGGUUUUCGGAUCGUAAAACUCUGUUGUUAGAGAAGAACAAGGACGUUAGUAACUGAACGUCCCCUGACGGUAUCUAACCA
rnacentral:rRNA from 1 species